ensembl:lincRNA
AUGACAUUUCAAUUGAAAGCUGUUAAACGUGCAUUCUUAAAGGCAAAUCUUCUGUACUCUCCUCAAAAACAUUCCAGAGCUAGAACACACACCACAAGUGCAAACGCACCAAUCCAGACAGGAAUACGUUGGGAUCGUGGUGGAACGAUUCCACGAUACAGGGACAUCGCUCUGGCCAUAACCCCCUGCCUUGUUUCUCUACUCUUACACAAAAUGGCCUCCGACAUUUAGCUCACAAAUAUACUGUAAAAGUUUUGGCAUCGUUUGUCGCAGACAGUGAUCUUGAGUCCGCAAUUCCUGAAUCAGUUCUGGAAAAUGGCUUUGUUGAGGGUGGCUCUUCUCCUGGAUAGAAAAGCCUUUCAGACGGACUCCCUGGUUGCCGCCCAGUUCCCUGCAUCACUGUCUACAAAAUCUUUCAUCUGCAGCUCAGAACAACUUUUAGAAUUGUAAAAUAAGUAACUUCGUACAGUAUGAAGAAUUCUUCACUGUAAUUACUAUUAAAGAGGCAGUCAUAGUGUCAGAAAUAUGUAACUAAAUCUGAAUGAUUGUAAAAUAUACAGUUUUAUUCUCUGCUUCACGGUAAAAAAGUGGUUAGAUGUAAAAUAUGACUUUUAUCUGAUAAUUAACAUGACAAAUGCAAGUUUUAUACUGCUUAAACUAAUAGGGUCUUUUUAAUCAACUACUUAAUAAAAGGGUGAAAGUUUCUAUUUUCUGCAUUCCAUUUAAAAUACUAUAUUCUAAGUUUGAUUGAUUACAUAGUAACAUUUAAAUACUAGAAAAUACAUUUUUACAGUACCCAUGCUGUUGUUUAUUUUCAAUAGAGUACUUCAGUAGGGUGCUUUAUGCUAAGAUAAAAAAAAAAUCAAACUAGUUUCCAAAUUCAGCUCAUCGUGAGCGCAGUUUUUAUAUUGUGUACCUUGUUUCCUUGAUUAUAUUCACCUGCCAAGAGGCUGUGUUAUGGUUUUCAGUUUGCUUGGUUUUGCUAGCGUGCGGUGUUUGAAGAACACAAGGAAGAAAGGAUGGAAACCAGAGGAGACCAUGCAGCCCAUCUGGCUAAUUUGGUAUCCUGCAUUGUAAUUAAUAGGAAUGCAAAGAUUAUUAAAUAAAAGUUUUAGAAUCAGAUUGCAUAUUUUUUUGUGGAUAUCUUACUUUUAGCCAUUACAUAAACUUUGGAGGGGCAGUACAGUGGCGCGGUGGUGCCUCACAGAGCUGGGGCCCUGGGUUCAUUUCCUGGGGUGCUGUCUGUGUGGAGUUUGUAUGUUCUCUCUGUGAUCACAUGAGUUUCUUCUAGAUGUUCUGGUUCCCGCAGUGCAUAGCCAUACUGGUAGGUUAAUUAGCUUCUGGGACGACUGGCCCUAGUAUGGUUGUCCUGCGAUGGACUGGUGUCCCAGUCCAGGGUGUAUCCUGCCUUGUGCUCAAUGCCUGAGGGGAUAGGCUCCAGCUCUCUGUGACCCUGUACUGGAUAUAGCAGGUAGAUAAUGGAUGGAAUUUAAAGUGUGAAAUUUUAGGGAUGUUUGGGUCAAAUCUUGCAUUGCAGCAGUAAGAUUUUAACAUUGUGUACACGUUGGGUCACCAUGUUAGGAGAAUUAUAUUGCUGCUCUGGAAACAGUCCAGAAAAAAAAUCAGGUACAUUCCUGGGAAUAAAUGAGGUGAAUUCAGACAGAGCAAAGUCCUGGCUCUGGGGCACUGGGCAUGCUUGAAUCCAGCUCCAACUGCCGCGGGCCUGAAUCCAGCUGACUCCAGCUCUAAGGCACUGCUGCGGGCCUGAAUCCAGCUGACUCCAGCUCUAAGGCACUGCCACGGGCCUGAAUCUAACUGACUCCAGCUCUAAGGCACUGCUGCGGGCCUGAAUCUAACUGACUCCAGCUCUAAGGCAAUGCCAUGGGCUUGAAUCCAGCUGACUCCAGCUCUAAGACACUGCCACGGGCCUGAAUCUAACUGACUCCAGCUCUAAGACACUGCCACGGGCUUGAAUGCAGCUUCACUCUGACUCUACGGCUUCAGCUCGGAAGCAGCAGCAGAGUGCAGAUAAAAAAGCUCAAGACCUCCGCUCCAGAUAGGAGACAGGUGCCUGCUUAUUUUAGUUCAUCUGUGCAGUUUCAGAGCAGCGAGAUUUCCUGCCCAUGUUGUCUCUUACCAGAGGUAUCUCACUUUAGCAGGUGCUCUUCUGUGCUGAAAAAACACAUCUUUGACACAUCUAACACAGACUUAAACAUUGGUGAUAUAUUAAGCUUGUGGAUGACAGAGAAACUUUCCCUAACUUGUCUGGUAUAGCACAGGGACUAAGCUUCAAAGAGUAUUUAACCUGCUUAUCUGCUGAAGAGACAAAUCCUUUUAUUUCACAGUUACCAAAGCUGUGUUGCAGAUCUUCACAUGAGAGGCAAAUCGCACUGUCCUCCUCACACCCAUGAUCACGUUUUUUGCUGCACUGUUGCUGGGGUCCUGCAGGAAGGCUUGGCUCAGCUCUGGGCCCACUGUGAGCAGGGCCUCCUUCACAGCCCACGCCAGAACGCCAGAAGGGCAAGUAAACCAGAAACAGGAGACAGCCCCUCAUUCGGUUUGAUUCCUGUUCUUAGGAGAAGCAUUCCCCUCUUUUGAGCUCUUGUGCAUUCAGUCUCAUGAAAAUCCUCAUGAAGCCAUGAUCUUCGGACAGAGGCUGGAUCAUGGAGGACGGCGACACAAGGUCUCGCUCUGUAGCAAGGGAAGGUGUUGAGAGUGCCGAUGGGCAGCCCAUCAGAUUGUUGCGUUGCUUUUGCACAGGAAAUGGCUACACCUUUAGCACCUGCUCCACACAGCUGUUACUGGCACCCCCUCGGAGGAAAGGUUUUAAUGCAAUACGAUAUACAGUUUAUUACCUUGGGAAGCUAAAAUGCCAGGCUUUAACAUAAGAAGUACAUAUGAAAUACGAACAAUUAAGACUGACAGACCAGCAUUUUUAGUGACCAUCCUGUUCAUAAAAUUCCUUUCUGAGUUUGGGCAAUGGAACCGGUGUGGCUAUUUACAGUCAGUGCUAUGGGUAGCCUGGCCUAAGACAAAGCGGCAAAUAAUUUGAUAUAUGUAUUAAUUUAUCUGUAUUUCCAUAAAAUGACCCCAUUAAAAGGUACCUCAUACAAUUUCAGAAAAUAUUGUCUCCACAAUAGCAACAAAAUGAGCUUCAUUUCUUUUUUAAAAAGCCAUCGGGAGUAGUGUAAAGAAUUAAUUUGUACCUUUGAGAAAACUUAAUUUGUC